CCUACGGGUGGCAGCAGUGGGGAAUAUUGCGCAAUGGGCGAAAGCCUGACGCAGCGACGCCGCGUGAGGGAUGAAGGUCUUCGGAUCGUAAACCUCUGUCAGCAGGGAAGAACGGUCACUGUGCUAAUCAGCAGUGAAUUGACGGUACCUGCAAGGGAAGCACCGGCUAACUCCGUGCCAGCAGCCGCGGUAAUACGGAGGGUGCGAGCGUUAAUCGGAAUUACUGGGCGUAAAGCGCUCGUAGGCGGUAUGUCAAGUCACGGGUGAAAUCCCCGCGCUCAACGUGGGAACUACCUUUGAAACUAGCAAACUGGAGUGUGUGAGGGGAUAGUGGAAUUCCAGGUGUAGGAGUGGAAUCCGUAGAUAUCUGGAGGAACAUCAGUGGCGAAGGCGACUAUCUGGAACAUAACUGACGCUGAGGAGCGAAAGCGUGGGUAGCAAACAGGAUUAGAUACCCUAGUAGUC
rnacentral:rRNA from 1 species